CGUGCUACAGGUCUCCUACGGCGCAGUUCCAUUCAGCGACAAACCCAAUAAACUUACUGAAGGUUUACCCACACCUCAACUUCAUUCAGGAGUAAUUCAAUAGUUUGGAGCGUGAGAGACCACCAAAAAGUUCAGAGGAAAAAACACUGAAAACAUCUAUUGUAUGCCCAUUGAGAGAUCAACAUGUCUUCUUCUAUAGAACAAAUUUCAGUUUCUGUUGCUUUCAUAGGGGUUUGUACUAGACCAGGCUAUUUGCUGGGCAUAGAUGAAUCUAUCUUGAAGUAUUUGUGUCUCCAUUCAUUUAAUUUCUGAAAUAGAACAUCAGUUUCUAGAUGGCACCCGGAUGAUGAUGUCUCCAUUCAUAGUGCUUUCUUUCUUUCGUUAGCAAAUUCUAU